rnacentral:rRNA from 2 species
CAGCCGCCGCGGUAAUACCAGCACCCCGAGUGGUCGGGACGUUUAUUGGGCCUAAAGCAUCCGUAGCCGGUUCUACAAGUCUUCCGUUAAAUCCACCUGCUUAACAGAUGGGCUGCGGAAGAUACUAUAGAGCUAGGAGGCGGGAGAGGCAAGCGGUACUCGAUGGGUAGGGGUAGAAUCCGUUGAUCCAUUGAAGACCACCAGUGGCGAAGGCGGCUUGCCAGAACGCGCUCGACGGUGAGGGAUGAAAGCUGGGGGAGCAAACCGGAUUAGAUACCCGGGUAGUCCCAGCUGUAAACGAUGCAGACUCGGUGGUGAAUUGGCUUAUUGCUAAUUCAGUGCCGCAGGGAAGCCGUUAAGUUUGCCGCCUGGGGAGUACGGUCGCAAGACUGAAACCUAAAGGAAUUGGCGGGGGAGCAC